CAGAAAGAAUCUCAAGCAGCAGAAAAUAAGUCUUGGCCUAAAGAUGAGCUGUUAACAUAUAAAAAGCAGGUGAAGCAGUUUUAUCAUGUUUUAGACAGAAGAGGUCAUAUGUUAUUUACAGCAGAAGACAUGGACAAUAAGGAGGAAGAGCCUUAAUUGAUGGAGCAAGUUGAAAGAAAAAGAAAUAGGUAAAAACUUCAGUUUGAAGACAGGAACCUUCCAGAAAGAGUUGACAAACUAGACCUGCAUUUUUUUCUGUGCAAGAACUACAACUUAUGGACAAGUUUGAUUAAAAGAUCAGUCUCGGCUCUGGAGAUGAAUACUUUCAAAGAUGAAACUACGUUAAAUAUGUCAGCUAAUUUCAAAACCAGCAUGAAAGAAUUGAAGGUUAUGAAGAAAUGGGUAGCUGAGCCAGAGGUUGAGACAGAGAUCAGGAAAAGCUCCUCUACCAAGUAUCUACUGAAUCAAGCAUCUACUGUGAUCUUCCUCAGACAACACAGGCAGAUGUACCAGUAGAAAAAACACCUACUUUGACUGGAUGAGA